rnacentral:lncRNA from 1 species
AUCAGUUUGUUCCCCGUUUCUUCUCUAGCCUGAGCCCGACACACUAUUCUAGCUAGACAUGGGUGUGGCUCGUAACACCUGAUGACCAAACGGAUCUACGGCACCAUCGAAUCUCAAACUUUAACUGCCAAAACUAUUGUUUUUCAUCCUGUAGUCCCUUUUAGAAUUACUAAAUGUCCUUUUUUGGGCCGAGAUUUCCAGGAACGCUUUCUCAGGGUUUGUGUGCAAGUAAUUCAAACCAUACGGACCUAAAAAUUAGAAGUCAUUCCAUCUUUAUUCCCCUAGAGCCUUCCAGCAGUUCCUAAACCGCUCAAGUCAGUGCACGUUAUCAUUCUUGUUAGUUCUAAGUGAAUUCCCUCGGUAUGAUAAUUUGUUCAUCAGUUUGUUCCCCGUUUCUUCUCUAGCCUGAGCCUGACACACUAUUCUAGCUAGACAUGGGUGUGGCUCGUAACACCUGAUGACCAAACGGAUCUACGACACCAUCGAAUCUCAAACUUUAACUACCAAAACUAUUGUUUUUCAUCCUCUAGUCCCUUUUAGAAUUACUAAACGUCCUUUUUUGGGCCGAGAUUUCCAGGAACGCUUUCUCGGGGUUUGUGUGCAUGUAUUUCAAACCAUACAGACCUAAAAAUUAGAAGUCAUUCCAUCUUUAUUCCCGUAGAGCCUUCCAGCAGUUCCUAAACCGCUCCAGUCGGAGCAUGUUAUCAUUCUUGUUUGUUCUGAGUGAAUUCCCUCGGUAUGAUAAUUCUAUCAUCAGUUUGUUCCCCGUUUCUUCUCUAGCCUGAGCCUGGCAAACUAUUCUAGCUAGACAUGGGUGUGGCUCGUAACACCUGAUGACCAAACGGAUCUACGACACCAUCGAAUCUCAAACUUUAACUACCAAAACUAUUGUUUUUCAUUCUAUAGUCCCUUCUAGAAUUUCUAAACGUCCUUUUUUGGGCCGAGAUUUCCAGGAAUGCUUUCUCGGGGUUUGUGUGCAAGUAUUUCAAAUCAUACGGACCUAAAAAUUAGAAGUCAUUCCAUCUUUAUUCCCCUAGAGCCUUCCAGUAGUUCCUAAACCGCUCCAGUCGGAGCACGUUAUCAUUCUUGUUAGUUCAUAGUGAAUUCCCUCGGUAUGAUAAUUCUUUCAUCAGUUUGUUCCCCGUUUCUUCUCUAGCCUGAGCCUGGCACAGUAUUCUAGCUAGACAUGGGUGUGGUCGUAACACCUGAUGACUAAAUGGAUCGACGGCACCAUCGAAUCUCAAACUUUAACUGCCAAAACUAUUGUUUUUCAUCCUGUAAUCCCAUUUAGAAUUACUAAACGUCCUUUUUUGGGCCGAGAUUUAGAGGAACGCUUUGUUGGGGUUUGUGUGCAAGUAUUUCAAACCAUACGGACCUAAAAAUUAGAACUCAUUCCAUAUUUAUUCCCCUUGAGCCUUCCAGCAGUUCCUAAACCGCUCUAGUCGGAGCACGUUAUCAUUCUUGUUAGUUCUAAGAGAAUUCCCUCGGUAUGAUAAUUCUUUUAUCAGUUUGUUCCCCGUUUCUUCUCUAGACUGGGCCCGACACACUAUUCUAGCUAGACAUGGGUGUGGCUCGUAACACCUGAUGACCAAACGGAUCUACGGCACCAUCGAAUCUCAAACUUCAACUGCCAAAACUAUUGUUUUUCAUCCUGUAGUCCCUUUUAGAAUUACUAAACGUCCUUUUUUGGGCCGAGAUUUCCAGGAACGCUUUCUCGGGGUUUGUGUGCAAGUAUUUCAAACCAUACGGACCUAAAAAUUAGAAGUCAUUCCAUCUUUAUUCCCGUAGAGCCAUCCAGCAGUUCCUAAACCGCUCCAGUCGGAGCACGUUAUCAUUCUUGUUAGUUCUGAGUGAAUUCCCUCGGUAUGAUAAUUCUUUCAUCAGUUUGUUCCCCGUUUCUUCUCUAGCCUGAGCCUGACAAACUAUUAUAGCUAGACAUGGGUGUGGCUCGUAACACCUGAUGACCAAACGGAUCUAUGGCACCAUCGAAUCUCAAACUUUAACUGCCAAAACUAUUGUUUUUCAUCCUGUAGUCCCUUUUAGAAUUACUAAACGCCCUUCUUUGGGACGAGAUUUCCAGGAACGCUUUCUCGGGGUUUGUGUGAAAGUAAUUCAAACCAUACGGACCUAAAAAUUAGAAGUCAUUCCAUCUUUAUUCCCGUGGAGCCUUCCAGUAGUUCCUAAACCGCUCCAGUCGGAGCACGUUAUCAUUCUUGUUAGUUCUGAGUGAAUUCCCUCGGUAUGAUAAUUCUUUCAUCAGUUUGUUCCCUGUUUCUUCUCUAGCCUGAGCCUGGCACACUAUUCUAGCUAGACAUGGGUGUGGCUCGUAACACCUGAUGACUAAACUGAUCAAUGACACCAUCGAAUCUCAAACUUUAACUGCCAAAACUAUUGUUUUUCAUCCUGUAGUCCCAUUUAGAAUUACUAAACGUCCUUUUUUGGGCCGAGAUUUCCAGGAACGCUUACUCGGGGUUUGUGUGCAAGUAUUUCAAACCAUACUGACCUAAAAAUUAGAAGUCAAUCCAUCUUUAUUCCCCUAGAGCCUUCCAGCAGUUCCUAAACCGCUCCAGUCGGAGCACGUUAUCAUUCUUGUUAGUUCUGAGUGAAUUCCCUCGGUAUGAUAAUUCUUUCAUCAGUUUGUUCCUUGUUUCUUCUCUAGCCUGAACCUGACACACUAUUCUAGCUAGACAUGGGUGUGGCUCGUAACACCUGAUGACCAAACGGAUCUACGGCACCAUCGAAUCUCAAACUUUAACUGCCAAAACUAUUAUUUUUAAUCCUCUAGUCCCAUUUAGAAUUACUAAACGUCCUUUUUUGGGCCGAGAUUUAGAGGAACGCUUUCAUGCGGUUUGUGUGCAAGUAUUUCAAACCAUACGGACCUAAAAAUUAGAAGUCAUUCCAUCUUUAUUCCCCUAGAGCCUUCCAGCAGUUCCUAAACCGCUCCAGUCGGAGCAUGUUAUCAUUCUUGUUAGUUCUGAGUGAAUUCCCUCGGUAUGAUAAUUCUUUCAUCAGUUUGUGGCCCGUUUCUUCUCUAGCCUGAGCCUGACACACUAUUCUAGCUAGACGUGGGUGUGGCUCGUAACACCUGAUGACCAAACGGAUCUACGGCACCAUCGAAUCUCAAACUUUAAGUGCCAAAACUAUUAUUUUUAAUCCUGUAGUCCCAUUUAGAAUUACAAAAAUGUCCUUUUUUGGGCUGAGAUUUCCAGGAACGCUUUCGUGCGGUUUGUGUGCAAGUAUUUCAAACCAUACAGACCAAAAAAUUAGAA